UACGUAGGGUGCAAGCGUUUGUCCGGAAUUAUUGGGCGUAAAGAGCUCGUAGGCGGUCUGUCGCGUCGGAUGUGAAAGCCCGGGGCUUAACCCCGGGUCUGCAUUCGAUACGGGCAGACUAGAGUGUGGUAGGGGAGAUCGGAAUUCCUGGUGUAGCGGUGAAAUGUGUAGAGAUCGGGAGGAACACCGGUGGCGAAGGCGGGUCUCUGGGCAUCUCCUGACGCUGAGGCGCGAAAGCUAGGGGAGCGAACAGG
rnacentral:rRNA from 1 species